rnacentral:rRNA from 1 species
UACAGAGGUCUCAAGCGUUGUUCGGAUUCAUUGGGCGUAAAGGGUGCGUAGGCGGCGCGGUAAGUCGGUGUGAAAUCUCGGAGCUUAACUCCGAAACUGCAUUCGAUACUGCCGUGCUUGAGGACUGGAGAGGAGACUGGAAUUUACGGUGUAGCGGUGAAAUGCGUAGAUAUCGUAAGGAAGACCAGUGGCGAAGGCGGGUCUCUGGACAGUUCCUGACGCUGAGGCACGAAGGUCAGGGGAGCAAACGGG